rnacentral:rRNA from 1 species
UGGGGAAUAUUGCACAAUGGGGGAAACCCUGAUGCAGCGACGCCGCGUGGAGGAAGAAGGUCUUCGGAUUGUAAACUCCUGUUGUCGAGGAAGAUAAUGACGGUACUCAACAAGGAAGUGACGGCUAACUACGUGCCAGCAGCCGCGGUAAAACGUAGGUCACAAGCGUUGUCCGGAAUUACUGGGUGUAAAGGGAGCGCAGGCGGGAGAACAAGUUGGAAGUGAAAUCCAUGGGCUCAACCCAUGAACUGCUUUCAAAACUGUUUUUCUUGAGUAGUGCAGAGGUAGGUGGAAUUCCCGGUGUAGCGGUGGAAUGCGUAGAUAUCGGGAGGAACACCAGUGGCGAAGGCGGCCUACUGGGGCACCAACUGACGCUGAGGCUCGAAAGUGUGGGUAGC